UCUCCCUAGACAGCAAGGCCCCAGAUGUCAAAACAUCAGAUAGAGAAACUAGAAAAUGUGGUUAAUACAAUAGGAUUUGAUCUCGUGUUGGAGGAAUUCGGGAUGGCUCAAGAAAAGUGGGUGCUGAGCAUUGAAUGUUGUCAAGACACAAGAUGAUUCUCUGAGAAUUUGGAUUAACCGAACUGUUUGUAACGGAGGAUUACCGAAAACAGAUGCAGUCUGCCAAUGAACCACGUCUUUCCCUAUCCUAACCGCCUCCAGUUCUUCUGUGAACGCCUCUGAAUUGAGUUGCUCCACACAGGUGAUUUAUUUUGGUCUGUCACCUCCCCCUGCCUGCUCCCCACAUUUAUUAGGCACCACUCUAGUUAAAACCACUUUGGGUGGUGACAAGAGAAAGAGCUGAGAUAAAUGGCGAGAGAAGACUUGUAUGCUCCAGGCCUAUUUUAGCCUCAUGCAUGACAGCGUGCUUAGGCAGGGACUAGUGGAGUUCCUGCGGCUGCAUACAAACAGCUCGUAAGUCUUGGGAAGUAAACAGUCUCCUGCUUAGAAAAUACAGAGCGUCGGGUACUAUAAUCCUCACCUGCUGCCUGUUCUGCUGGCAUCAUGGAGUUCUGUAACAGUUAUCUUUACAGUGAUCAUUUUCCUGACAUUGAUGCUGGACCAGAUUGUCAAAAAAAAUUUCAACAUUUAAAAAUACAUCUUUUAGUAGUUAAAAAUGGUGUUAAAAACCAGGACUUUGAAAAUAAGUUUACAGUACCUAUGUAGUAGUCUAUGCUUAGCUAUUGGUUUUAAGGUUUCUGACUAACACGUGAAACUGGGAAUACCAUUCUUUCAUCAAACAAAGAAGAAACUGGAAGUUCCAAGUGAGUCAGCGUUUAUUUAACUGCUUUACACAUUGAGCCUUGACCUCCAUGGCAGCAGGAGCUUCCUGCUGAUCUGUCUUACAAAGGCUUCCUGCACAGGUCUCUGCCAUCUCUCUUUUCACAGCAGGACAUGCAACUCUAACCAAUGUUUGAAUGGACCAGUGCAAUAGCUUCUUAGAUUCUUUCCCUCCUGGUGCUAUAAUCCAUCCUACAUCCAGCUGCAAUAUUUCCUAAGCUUAAUUUUGAUCAUAUCACUCUCUUAAUCAAAAGUUCAUGACAGCAUCAAACACAACAAAUUCAAACUCUUAUGUAUUUGAAGCCAUGCUGUUUUCAUCACCGAAAAAUAUUUCUAACACCCAUUGUUUUGGUUCAUAUUCUCUAUUGUAGCCACUGAGAGCCACUUGCUGUGGACUCUGCUUCCCUCGUUUAAACUUUCCUCUGCCUAUACAGUGUCUUCAGAGGACUCCACCCCACCAGGAAUGUGAAGCUUAAACUUCAUGUCUAAGGGCUGCUCCUACUAAUUAGUAUCUAGUUCCUAGGACUCCACUCAUGUCAGAAACCUCUCCAAACGCACAAAGUUUUGGUUGGACUAAAGAACUGUGUAUAAUUUCUCUAUUUUAUAUCUGCUCAUAUUUCCAAGCUGUCUUAACAGUUAUGACAGUGUCCAGGAACUAGAAGUUUGGAGUUUUGGGCUCUAUCUCCCCUAAAGUCUCAUAUCUGACUUGUCACCACUUUUUCUCAGACUUGGGCCUAUUUUUCCACAUGCUCCCCAAGACCUUCUCUCACCUAGCCCUGAUUCCUAGGUAUCUCCUGCUCUGUCACUGAAGCUGUCCUUAGUAUUUGGCUCAAGUGGAAUCCAGUUCUCUCACCACAAUGAGGAAGUAUAUGUGUGUGGAGGGUUGGGGGAAGGGGAUCUGUGGGGGCCUUGAAAAAAAGUUUUAGGAUAAUCA
rnacentral:lncRNA from 10 species